CAGGAGCGUUCCCAGGAGUAUGGAUGCUAACAGCCUUCCCCAAACUUUGCGGACUUUAUCAACGCACAUAGCCGUGACUUGAAGCCAAUUGCCAAAACUUACUGGGAAGGACAGGGGAAGUGGAAGCCCUUCCGCUUUUGAAGGUGUGUGUUUUAUUUCUUGCUGCUCAGAUGCCAUGGUUACAAGCACUACAGAAAACAAACCAGUGGCACCAGGUUCCAAGGUGUUAAAGCAAGCAGAUAGGUAUUACUACUUGUCC